GAUGAAGAACGUAGCGAAAUGCGAUAAGUAAUGUGAAUUGCAGAAUUCAGUGAAUCAUCGAAUCUUUGAACGCACAUUGCGCCCAUUAGUAUUCUAGUGGGCAUGCCUGUUCGAGCGUCAUUUCAACCCUUAAGCCUAGCUUAGUGUUGGGAGCCUACUGCUUUUACUAGCUGUAGCUCCUGAAAUACAACGGCGGAUCUGCGAUAUCCUCUGAGCGUAGUAAUUUUUAUCUCGCUUUUGACUGGAGUUGCAGCGUCUUUAGCCGCUAAAUACCCCAAUUUUUAAUGGUUGACCUCGGAUCAGGUAGGAAUACCCGCUGAACUUAAGCAUAUCAAUAAGCGGAGGA
rnacentral:misc_RNA from 1 species